rnacentral:lncRNA from 1 species
CCAAUACCCGUCACUAACUUAGAACCACUAAGAGGCUUACAUUGCAACAUAGAAUUAGAGGCAUGAAACUGAAGGCCACACAGACCCAAGAAACCAUAAACAUAACGAACCAAGGGAUGAGAUUUAUACUGAUAGAACCUUCGACUAACCGAACAGGAAGGGUAAGAGGUUGAUUGAUGAAAUCGCUGAUCCACAGAGACAUACCUGUGAAACGCUUCAACAAAUCCGACAGAAGAAUUAACAUACCACAUCAGAGCCAGCUUAGUACUAUACUGCACACCAGAAAAAGAUCCGGAUCUGUUCAGACAACAAGCACACCACCAGGACUACAACGGAACUAAACUACCUCUCGAUACCAUCCAAAAAACAACAAAAGCUUCAUAUCGACCAAAUGAACCUACUACAAGACCUAUAA